UACGGAGGGUGCAAGCGUUAAUCGGAAUUACUGGGCGUAAAGCGCGCGUAGGCGGUUUUGUAAGUCGGAUGUGAAAGCCCUGGGCUUAACCUGGGAAUUGCAUUCGAUACUGCAGAACUAGAGUUUGAGAGAGGGCAAUGGAAUAUCUGGUGUAGCAGUGAAAUGCGUAGAUAUCAGAUAGAACACCAAUGGCGAAGGCAGUUGCCUGGCUCAAUACUGACACUAAAGCACGAAAGUGUGGGGAGCAAACAGG
rnacentral:misc_RNA from 1 species